AUACGUAGGGGGCGAGCGUUGUCCGGAAUGAUUGGGCGUAAAGGGCGCGUAGGCGGCUUUGCAAGUCAGUAGUGGAAGUCCAUUUUUCAAGGAUGGAAGUGCUACAGAAACUGCGGAGCUUGAGUGCAGGAGAGGUUAUCGGAAUUCCCGGUGUAGCGGUGAAAUGCGUAGAGAUCGGGAGGAACACCAGUGGCGAAGGCGGGUAACUGGACUGCAACUGACGCUGAGGCGCGAAAGUGUGGGGAGCAAGCAGGAGUAGAGACCCUGGUAGUCCACACUGUAAACGAUGAAUGCUAGGUGUAGGAGGUAUCGACCCCUUCUGUGCCGCAGUAAACACAGUAAGCAUUCCGCCUGGGGAGUACGGUCGCAAGAUUAAAACUCAAAGGAAUUGACGGGG
rnacentral:rRNA from 1 species